rnacentral:rRNA from 1 species
GUGCCAGCAGCCGCGGUAAUACGUAGGGUGCAAGCGUUGCUCGGAAUCAUUGGGCGUAAAGAGCGUGUAGGUGGCUAGAUAAGUCGGAUGUGAAAUCCCUCGGCUCAACCGAGGAAGGGCAUUCGAAACUAUCUAGCUCGAGGAUGGCAGAGGAAGGUGGAAUUCCUAGUGUAGAGGUGAAAUUCGUAGAUAUUAGGAGGAAUACCGGUGGCGAAGGCGGCCUUCUGGACCAUUCCUGACACUGAGACGCGAAAGCGUGGGUAGCAAACAGGAUUAGAUACCCUGGUAGUCCACGCUGUAAACGAUGGGUACUAGAUGUUGUGGGAAUUGACCCCCGCAGUGUCGUAGCUAACGCGUUAAGUACCCCGCCUGGGAAGUACGGCCGCAAGGUUAAA